rnacentral:rRNA from 1 species
AUACGAAGGGGGCUAGCGUUGCUCGGAAUGACUGGGCGUAAAGGGCGUGUAGGCGGUUUGUACAGUCAGAUGUGAAAUCCCCGGGCUUAACCUGGGAGCUGCAUUUGAGACGUGCAGACUAGAGUGUGAGAGAGGGUUGUGGAAUUCCCAGUGUAGAGGUGAAAUUCGUAGAUAUUGGGAAGAACACCGGUGGCGAAGGCGGCAACCUGGCUCAUUACUGACGCUGAGGCGCGAAAGCGUGGGGAGCAAACAGGAUUAGAUACCCUGGUAGUCCACGCUGUAAACGAUGUGUGCUGGAUGUUGGGUAACUUAGUUAUUCAGUGUCGUAGCUAACGCGAUAAGCACACCGCCUGGGGAGUACGGCCGCAAGGUUGAA